rnacentral:rRNA from 1 species
UGAGUAACCUGCCCUGGACUUUGGGAUAACCCUCGGAAACGGGGGCUAAUACCGGAUAUGACAUGCUCUCGCAUGGGGGUGUGUGGAAAGUUUUUCGGUCUGGGAUGGGCUCGCGGCCUAUCAGCUUGUUGGUGGGGUAAUGGCCUACCAAGGCGACGACGGGUAGCCGGCCUGAGAGGGUGUACGGCCACAUUGGGACUGAGACACGGCCCAGACUCCUACGGGAGGCA